rnacentral:rRNA from 1 species
GACGAACGCUGGCGGCGCGCCUAACACAUGCAAGUCGAACGAGCGAGAGAGAGCUUGCUUUCUCGAGCGAGUGGCGAACGGGUGAGUAACGCGUGAGGAACCCGCCUCAAAGAGGGGGACAACAGUUGGAAACGACUGCUAAUACCGCAUAAGCCCACGGUGCCGCAUGGCACAGUGGGACAAGGAGCAAUCCGCUUUGAGAUGGCCUCGCGUCCGAUUAGCUAGGUGGUGAGGUAAUGGCCCACCAAGGCGACGAUCGGUAGCCGGACUGAGAGGUUGAGCGGCCACAUUGGGACUGAGACACGGCCCAGACUCCUACGGGAGGCAGCAGUGGGGAAUAUUGCACAAUGGGGGAAACCCUGAUGCAGCGACGCCGCGUGGAGGAAGAAGGUCUUCGGAUUGUAAACUCCUGUUGUUGGGGAAGAUAAUGACGGUACCCAACAAGGAAGUGACGGCUAACUACGUG